AAAACCACCUUAUCUCACAAGGUUCUUUCUUCUCAAGUAUCAUAAAAAACUCCACGUCAUUAUUCAAUUCCUUAUGGUCUUCCGUUCAAUCCAGACUUCCUAAGAAUAUAUUUAAUUUCACUGUCCGUUAUAUCAACAACUCCCUCCCUACUCGGAAAAACCUGGUCAAAUGGGGUCUGUCAUCGUCUGCCGAUUGUUCCUUUUGCUCCUCUCCUGAGUUACUCCUGCACGUCAUCUCUGGUUGUAAAGCAUAUCUAGAUGAAGGGCCAUUUACGUGGCGGCAUAAUUCAGUCCUGGACUUCAUUGCAUCCAGCCUUAUGAGUGCCGAGCGAUCCAAACUCUACGUAGAUUUGCCUGGCUAUAUUACUCCGUCAGUUAUCACUGGUGAUCAGUUACGUCCAGACCUUCUCUUGGCAAUUGAAAAUAAAGUUUUAUAUGUUUUCGGGAACUGACUGUUGGCUUUGAAACAAAUCUUAACUCUAACUCAGAUCGAAAACAUAAAAAAUAUCCGCCGCUUAUUUCAGAUCAAGAAAAUAACUAUGAUAAGGUAAAAUUUGUUAAUGUAUCCAUAAGCUUGCUAGGCGUUUUUGGUCAAUCGACGAACACCUUAACUGAUAUAUGCUCAAGGAACUGAAGUUCGAUGAACAACAAAUUAAAUACAUUAAAAAGAAAAGCAUUGCUAUCUGUAUUCGCACAUCAUAUUAUGUAUUCUGUCAGCGAAACAAAGACUGGACUAGCCCAGAGCUUCUAAAAUUUUGAACAAUAUUAAAUUCCUUAUUUUUGUAAAUUUAUAUAAUCCAAAUAUUUUUCAAGUAGUCAUCGAUAAACUACCUCUAUGAGCGAGGUUUAUCAAUGUAAAUAUAGUUUUAUGGUA